rnacentral:piRNA from 1 species
UCCACUCAGAGCUCCCCAGAGAUGCC